rnacentral:lncRNA from 1 species
AUGGAGUGUCGGUUCGGGGAGGCAGACCGGGACAAACCCAAGGUCUGGUGCAAGCAGAACACCACGCAGUGCUGCUCGGGCUUCGCGGUGUCCAGCGCGGAGGAGAGCCUGUACGGCGGGCAGGUGACCAUCCGCGUGCUGCGGGACCAGAACAAGUUCACCGUGUCCAUCGCGCAGCUGCCCGAGGGCGAGGGGCGCUACUGGUGCGGCGUGCUGAACCCCGACAACACCAUGGUCAAGCUGGGCGAGGCGGACUUCUCCGACGGUGAGGUGCCGGUGUGGGACAUCCUGCGCUGGGCGCUGCUGGCCGCCCUGCUGCUCAGCUCUCUGUCCAGCAGCCUGUACGCUAAACGGAGAACCGGGAAAGAAAAGAGGGACGAAGCCCCCUACGAGGACGUACAGAUGAUCAAUCUCAGCGCCAAACACGACUAGGGACCCCGUGACGUCACCCCGCGGCCCGCGGUGAUGCCGGCGGAAUGAAGGGCGAGCUGGGAAAUGGGAGAGGGGUGGGGAGGGGAGCAGGCUACCCUGGUAACGUUCAUCACUGGACAGAUUUGGGGUGGUAGUGUAAAACAAGGACUCUGUCGGUCCGCCUCUAGUUGUAUAUAUGUAAAUAUAUAUAUAUAUUACGCAGAGUAAACAAAGUUAAGCUUCCAGUAAAUUAUAAGUCGGACUCAUUUUCUAUGUAACUGUGCACGUUUAACGACAUCAGCUGAUAAAAAUCUCUACUUCUUAUUUUUUUAUAUUGGUUAUAUGUUACUUGCCUCCACAGAUAGGAAAUGUAUAAAACGAAAUUUAUGAGCAAUAUUCUGAUUCCGUCUAGGAAACGUGAUGGGUGCACUUGCGCCGGCUUCCCACCAGGGGGCAGCAUCGCUCUAAUGCUGAAUUUCAUUUCUUUCUUUAAUGUCCGUUUUUAUUUUUCCGUGCUGUAGCUCAUAUGGAUGGCCCACUGUCCUGCCUGCUGCCUGCAGCUCCAGGGUCCUGGGUUGGUGCCUGUCUGUGUGGAGCUGGCGUGUUCUGUCUGUGUUCAGUGGGUUUGGGCCGGGUCUCACCGCCCACAGACAAGCACAUUAGUCUGGACUGGCUGCGCUACACUCUCCCCCUGCGGUUUCUCCUGCACAGAAAAACGCUGGCUGAUCCCCUCCAGCUGCAGAGUCUCCUCAGGGCUCGCUGUGCUCUGCAAUGGCUUCUGAGCUCUCAGUUGUCUAAUCGGUCCUUUAAUUGAAAUUUUGAUUUGAUUCAUUUGAACGCUUCACUUUACAAUUCCAGAUGUUAACAUUUUAAACUUUUACUGUUUUUACAGGCAAUUUGAAGCUGUCAAUUGCUUCAAAUUGCUGUCAAGUAAAUCUUGAGCUGCUGAAAACAACAAUUGCAUCCUCAAAGAGCAAAUGUCCACUGCUGCAAUCUGAGUUCCUCCUAAUAAAAAGGUCACUGAGAUCUCCAGGUGUUGCUGUCUGAUUUCCGAUGUCUGCGAUGCCUCCUCCACAGUGUGCUCUCGAUGGGAAUGCUGUGCUCUCUCUGCAGUCUCUUGCUCACUGAAGAGCAGGGUUCCCGGGACCACAGAGCUGAGCAGAGCUGCCCCAAGGCCUUCAAGAGCAGCAGUGGGCUGCCCCAGGUGAUCAGACCUAUUAAAUAACCAGUCCAGUUUCACCUGCUGCCCUUGAAGGCCAGAGCUGCC